rnacentral:sRNA from 1 species
CACAGCCAGAGUGCGGGGGCCCCAGCAGGUUCUCACAGCCAGCCGGUGAGUGCACCUCAGAGCAUAGGGGCCCAGAGCCAGGCCACUCCUUCAGGGCCCCAGGUCGCUUGCUGCCGGUUUUGGCCUGUGAGCUCACUGGCCUCAGUGCCAGUGUUUUAACCAAACAGUUGUGGCUACUCAUGGUGAGGAAUGACCGCUAAGAGUUUGGGUUCUUUCAAUGCAUUUGGAGGUCACUGCUACACGUUGAUGUUUAGGAGGUUGAGAGGUUUGCCUUUAGUGUCCACAGGAUGAAAUGUCCGAGUCAGGCCAGUCCUCGGCGGCUGCCACACCCAGCACCACAGGCACCAAGUCCAACACGCCCACAUCCUCCGUGCCCUCGGCCGCCGUCACACCCCUCAACGAGAGCCUGCAGCCCCUGGGGGACUAUGGCGUGGGCUCCAAGAACAGCAAGCGUGCCCGGGAGAAGCGCGACAGCCGCAACAUGGAAGUCCAGGUCACCCAGGAGAUGCGCAACGUCAGUAUAGGCAUGGGCAGCAGUGACGAGUGGUCUGAUGUUCAAGACAUUAUUGACUCCACGCCAGAGCUGGACAUGUGUCCAGAGACCCGCCUGGACCGCACAGGAAGCAGCCCAACCCAGGGCAUCGUGAACAAAGCUUUCGGCAUCAACACCGACUCCCUGUACCACGAGCUGUCGACGGCAGGGUCUGAGGUCAUCGGGGAUGUGGACGAAGGGGCCGACCUCCUAGGUAAGC